rnacentral:misc_RNA from 1 species
UCGUGUUGCCUGUAAUGGCUACAAGUAUGUUUUGCUUAAUGUCUUACCUUCUGCCAUGUUUCUAACACUUGUCUUAUGUUUUCCCUCUGCUUAAUAUAUACAAUGCUCUGUAUGUCAGUUAAGGCAGCUUUACCCUGUAUAUUUUUAACCCUAAGGAUAUAUAUAUAUAAAGUUGAUCUUUAGGGUUUGAGGUUUAGGGUUUAGGCAAUACAAAAAGAGGAGCUUUUGCAUAAAUUGAAUUUUUUUCAUUGUACGUAUAAAUUUAUUUUCAGCUGCGCAACAUGUGGGCUUUCAACUAGUAUUUUAUAUUCUCCUAGUGUGAAAGAUUCCCCACUCUCUAAGAAACUCAAUUGGUCAUUACAUUAUAAAAAUUCAUUAUAUGCAACACAGUUUUGGAGCAAGAAAAAGAAAAACUUGAUGACUGGUCUAUGCUUGAUACAAAUUUGGCAAAGAAAUAGAAGGGAAGGCAAGAGAGAGAAAGCAAGAUAUGACAAUAAAUGGCUGAGAACACUAUACUUGAAGGAUGAAUUGAUGUUCAACUGGUUAACAUAGACAAAGGACCAAAAAAAAGGAAAAGAGGCUGAUCAAAAUUUGGGUGGAAAAACAUCCUUAUUCCUGUUUUUUUGCGCCCUUCCCCCUCUCAUGUCCUCUUCAAUCAAGCUGUCUUAACUCUUCUGUGACUGGACAAAUAAAUUAAUUUGCCAAUGGCUUGGUGAAAUAAAUUUAUUUGUAUAUUCAGUUAUCAUUUGAUCAUAUUUUUCUCGUUCUAUUUUGUUGGAUUAAUUUGGUAAUUGAAGAUUUAUUAUUUAUACUUUGUUUACUACCAUCAUACAAGUCAUCAUUGGUCCCCAUGUUCAAUGAAAUAACGUUAAAUUCUCAGUAUUAGAUUUUUCUUGUUUGCAAGAUCUUUUAUAUUCCAAUUACCCUUUUUCCUAUUUGGUUAUAAAAGCUAAUUAUUUUCAGGAUUAUAGAAUUACAGAAUUAAUUACAUCUUAUAAGUUUGUAUAAAAAUUGAAUUUUUGUUAUCAAUUUUAAUUUAAUAGUUUUUUCUUGGUCUCAUUUGUUGGUGAUUGCUUAAAUAUAAUGGCGUUAUUGUAAUAUUGAUAUUCUGUAUCAUUGUUAAUUAUUGGAUAUUGAUUCUUUUUGGCUGACUUUCAAAGCCUGAAUAACUUGUGUGGUUGUGCCCAUUAAAUUAAACUGCAGUGUUCUUGUUCCUGACUUAUUUCG